CCCGACUGCUAUCGAAGUGGGACUAAGCCAUGUUAGUCGAACGCCUUUCAACUAUGUGAUUGGCGUGGCGUACGGCUCAGUAACACGUUGUUAACCUACCCUGAAGACGUGGACAACCCCGGGAAACUGGGAUUAAACCACGAUAGAUCAAGACCCCUGGAAUGGAUCUUGUUCCAAAGGAAGGAUGAGCAUGUUCAUUUAUUUGCCUCAGGAUGGGACUGCGUCCGAUCAGGUUGUUGGUGGAGUAAUAGCCCACCAAGCCUGUAACCGGUACGGGCUUUGAGAGAAGGAGCCCGGAGAUGGACACUGAGAAAAGAGUCCAGGUCCUACGGGGCGCAGCAGGCGCGAAACCUUCGCAAUGCACGAAAGUGCGACGAGGCUACUUCGAGUGCCAUCCGCUGAGGAUGGCUUUUGUCAGGUGUAAAAAGCCUGGAGAAUAAGGGGAGGGCAAGUCUGGUGUCAGCCGCCGCGGUAAUACCAGCUCCCCGAGUGGUCGGGACGAUUAUUGGGCCUAAAGCAUCCGUAGCCUGCUCCGCAGGUCUUCUGUUAAAUUCAACGGCUUAACCGUUGAGCUGCAGGAGAUACCACGGGGCUAGGAGGCGGAAGAGGUAGACGGUACUCCAUGGGUAGGGGUAAAAUCCUCUGAUCCAUGGAAGACCACCAGUGGCGAAGGCGGUCUACCAGAACGCGCUCGACGGUGAGGGAUGAAAGCUGGGGGAGCGAACCGGAUUAGAUACCCGGGUAGUCCCAGCUGUAAACGAUGCGAGCUAGGUGACGGAGUGGUUUCCGUACCAUUCCGGUGCCGCAGGGAAGCCGUUAAGCUCGCCGCCUGGGGAGUACGGUCGCAAGACUGAAACUUAAAGGAAUUGGCGGGGGAGCACCCACAGGGGUGAAGCCUGCGGUUC
rnacentral:rRNA from 1 species